rnacentral:rRNA from 1 species
GAUGAACGCUAGCUACAGGCUUAACACAUGCAAGUCGCGGGGCAGCAUGGGGGUUGCUUGCAAUCCCCGAUGGCGACCGGCGCACGGGUGAGUAACGCGUAUCCAACCUGCCCUUCACCACGGGAUAACCCGGCGAAAGUCGGACUAAUACCGUAUGUUGUCCAUUGACGGCAUCCGAUUUGGACGAAAGGCUUGGCGGUGAGGGAUGGGGAUGCGUCCGAUUAGCCAGACGGCGGGGUAACGGCCCACCGUGGCUACGAUCGGUAGGGGUUCUGAGAGGAAGGUCCCCCACACUGGAACUGAGACACGGUCCAGACUCCUACGGGAGGCAGCAGUGAGGAAGAUUGGUCAAUGGGCGUAAGCCUGAACCAGCCAAGUAGCGUGCAGGGUGACGGCCCUAUGGGUUGUAAACUGCUUUUAUGCGGGGAUAAAGUGGCCCACGUGUGGGCUUUUGCAGGUACCGCAUGAAUAAGGACCGGCUAAUUCCGUG